UGGGAAUCUGACAGUUUUGGGAAUCUGACACUUUUGCGAACAGUGACAGCUUCGGAACUUUAGGAAGAUUGUUUGUUUACACACUUUACACAGGCUAAAAGUGGCUAAACUUGCUAAACCUAGUACUUGGAGAAAUAGAUUUUGUGUAUUUUUAUGAGUUUUUACGCGAUUAUCUAAUAAACUCAUCCAGCAUUGGCAGCAGCAUCUGGUGGUUGUGGUUCGUGCUACGCAGUUUAACUUGCAACGGAGAAGUUCUCUGAAUUUGCUGCAAUCAUUGCUAAACUUUAGAAGCUGAGACCAGUGGUUUCUAGAAAUCCAUUCUCUGCUGAACCUGCUGAACAUACAUGUUUGCCAAACGGUUCUCGUGAUUGCGAGUAUUCCACGAAAUACAAUGGACGACACAGCAGUGUCCACUGAAGAGCGAAGUCAACCAAUGUCUUGGAUGUUCCCUGCUUUGCAUCCUAUGAUUUUUAAUGCUUAACGGUUGUCAUGUUCGAAGAGGAUUGUGGAAGUACACUUUGAACCUUCGAAGGCGCGCGCGGAUUCCAGAAAUUCCACAUAGUUCGUGCGAAGUUUUCCGACUAGGAUGCAGACCUACUUAGGCACUUGCAUGAUUCACUUUGGCAUGGGGGCUUGGCCGAAUUGCCUGAAACUUUGCAAUAAAAAGCACUUCAGUACGUACGACCUACUGCAGAACAAUGCCCACCAGUUUCGUCAGCAGUGCAUCGAGUCGGAUCAGCUGCUGAAGGGGGAACUGUAUCCGAAGGGAGCGUAAGAGAAUCUCCGUGCAAGAGCGAAUCCAAUGAUAUGGUAAAGUUGGAAAUCGAGGCUUUGGAGGAGGUGCUUGAACCGCAAGAAGGUUUGGAAUCAACGUCUGAGAGAGUGAAUCUGGACAUCAUACAAAGUUGAAGAGGCUGAAGAAGGUUCCACGGAGGAAGCUGCAGUGUAGUGUAGUGUAUAUUGUGUCCAAAUAUGAGAUCCGUAGCUUUCAAAAACCCAACUGCCGAAGUGAAUCAAAAGUGUCAAGGAUAUGAUCCGGCUCCCUAUCUAGCGUACUUUUAACACGGUGAUGUCCCGCAAGAUUGUGAGGAUGAGUCUAAUAUCAAAUUUGAAUUGGUCAUAGGA